rnacentral:lncRNA from 1 species
GAACGGGGGAAGCUGAGGCCCUCAAAAUCAGCUGCUUACCCAGAGGAUCCUCCCUAACCCAUGGCAAACUGGGAUCUGGCAUCAACUCUGCAAUCACUGAGGCCGGCAUUUCAGCCCAGAUGGCCAAGCCUGGAGCCACUCUCUCUGUGUACUUCCUCUCCCUGCCCUGACCCAGAAACGCUGCCAAGCUCCAGAAAAGAAGCUGUGGUUCCAGCACUUUCGAAGGCCAAGAGAGGAAGAUCACUUGAGCCCAGGAGUUUGAGACCAG